rnacentral:rRNA from 1 species
AUUGAACGCUGGCGGCAGGCCUAACACAUGCAAGUCGAGCGGAUGACGGGAGCUUGCUCCUUGAUUCAGCGGCGGACGGGUGAGUAAUGCCUAGGAAUCUGCCUGGUAGUGGGGGACAACGUUUCGAAAGGAACGCUAAUACCGCAUAAGUCCUACGGGAGAAAGCAGGGGACCUUCGGGCCUUGCGCUAUCAGAUGAGCCUAGGUCGGAUUAGCUAGUUGGUGAGGUAAUGGCUCACCAAGGCGACGAUCAGUAACUGGUCUGAGAGGAUGAUCAGUCGCACUGGAACUGAGACACGGUCCAGACUCCGACGGGAGGCAGCAGUGGGGAAUAUUGGACAAUGGGCGAAAGCCUGAUCCAGCCAUGCCGCGUGUGUGAAGAAGGUCUUCGGAUUGUAAAGCACUUUAAGUUGGGAGGAAGGGCAGUAAGUUAAUACCUUGCUGCUUUGACGUUACCGACAGAAUAAGCACCGGCUUACUCUGUGCCAGCAGCCGCGGUAA